GUACACACCGCCCGUCAAGCCACCCAAAUUGAYAGUACCCGAUGUUCAUGACCCAACCGCAAGGAGGGAGYGACCUAAGGUAAUAUUAGUAAGGGGGACUAAGUCGUAACAAGGUAGCCGUAGGUGAACCUGCAGAAGRAUCA
rnacentral:rRNA from 1 species